rnacentral:rRNA from 1 species
AUUGAACGCUGGCGGCAGGCUUAACACAUGCAAGUCGAGCGGGGUGAUGGUGCUUGCACUAUCACUUAGCGGCGGACGGGUGAGUAAUGCUUAGGAAUCUGCCUAUUAGUGGGGGACAACAUCUCGAAAGGGAUGCUAAUACCGCAUACGUCCUACGGGAGAAAGCAGGGGAUCACUUGUGACCUUGCGCUAAUAGAUGAGCCUAAGUCGGAUUAGCUAGCUGGUGGGUAAAGGCCUACCAAGGCGACGAUCUGUAGCGGGUCUGAGAGGAUGAUCCGCCACACUGGGACUGAGACACGGCCCAGACUCCUACGGGAGGCAGCAGUGGGGAAUAUUGGACAAUGGGGGGAACCCUGAUCCAGCCAUGCCGCGUGUGUGAAGAAGGCCUUAUGGUUGUAAAGCACUUUAAGCGAGGAGGAGGCUCUUUUGGUUAAUACCUAAGAUGAGUGGACGUUACUCGCAGAAUAAGCACCAGCUAACUCUGUGCCAGCCGCCGCGGUAA